CCACCAGCAACAAUAACGGCAAUAUUACCAACAACACAAGCAACAGAAACUAGAGGGGGUUCUUAUAUUGUUUUUAUCCUUUAUUGUUAGAGUUUCUCGGUGUCCUUUCUUUUAGUUCUUCGUUUUUUGGUGUCCAUAUUUUUUUUUUCUUCUUGGGGGAAAGAGGGAUUAAUUAGAACACAAAAUUACAUUUCUUUGUUAUUAUUUCAUUAUGAAUUACUUUGUUUCUUAUUGUCUAGGAAUUAAUACAGGAAAAGAAAGGACACCGAGAAACUCUAACNACUACUACCAUUAUCUUGAGCUUUUCUUCCUUCCAAAAAAAAAUAUGGACACCAAAAAACG
rnacentral:misc_RNA from 1 species